GACUGGAGUGCAGAAGAGGAGAGUGGAAUUCCACGUGUAGCGGUGAAAUGCGUAGAUAUGUGGAGGAACACCAGUGGCGAAGGCGACUCUCUGGUCUGUAACUGACGCUGAGGCGCGAAAGCGUGGGUAGCAAACAGGAUUAGAUACCCUGGUAGUCCACGCCGUAAACGAUGAGUGCUAAGUGUUAGGGGGUUUCCGCCCCUUAGUGCUGCAGCUAACGCAUUAAGCACUCCGCCUGGGGAGUACGACCGCAAG
rnacentral:rRNA from 1 species